rnacentral:rRNA from 1 species
AUUGAACGCUGGCGGCAUGCUUUACACAUGCAAGUCGAACGGCAGCGCGGGCUUCGGCCUGGCGGCGAGUGGCGAACGGGUGAGUAAUGCAUCGGAACGUGCCUAGUAGUGGGGGAUAGCGCGCCGAAAGCCGGAUUAAUACCGCAUACGACCUGAGGGUGAAAGCGGGGGACCGUAAGACCUCGCGCUAUCGGAGCGGCCGAGGUCGGAUUAGCUAGUUGGUGGGGUAAAGGCUUACCAAGGCGACGAUCCGUAGCUGGUCUGAGAGGAUGACCAGCCACACUGGGACUGAGACACGGUCCAGACUCCUACGGGAGGCAGCAGUGGGGAAUUUUGGACAAUGGGGGAAAGCCUGAUCCAGCCAUGCCGCGUGUGGGAAGAAGGCCUUCGGGUUGUAAAGCGCUUUUGUUCGGGAAGAAAUGCACUGGGCUAAUACCCCGGUGGUAUGACGGUACCGGAAGAAUAAGCACCGGCUAACUUCGUG